UUUAAUCCCUUGGUCUGGACCUCUGUGGGUUUCAAACGCUCCUGUCAAACUGCAGCCAAUUUAUUAUCUUACCCACGCUGGGAGGAUGCUGGUGAGAGAGAUGGCAAUGUUAAACACACAGAUUUUCACAAUGGAGCAGCCCAUUAUCAUCAGUUUCACUCCUGCUAGGAGGAUGGUUUGG